rnacentral:rRNA from 1 species
GGCGGACGGGUGAGUAACGCGUGGGCAACCUGCCCUUUACUGGGGAAUAAUCAUUGGAAACGAUGACUAAUACCGCAUGUCACCGAGGACUGGCAUCUUUCCUCGGAAAAAGGAGCAAUCCGGUAAAGGAUGGGCCCGCGUCUGAUUAGCUAGUUGGUGGGGUAACGGCCUACCAAGGCGACGAUCAGUAGCCGACCUGAGAGGGUGAUCGGCCACAUUGGGACUGAGACACGGCCCAAACUCCUACGGGAGGCAGCAGUGGGGAAUAUUGCACAAUGGGGGAAACCCUGAUGCAGCAACGCCGCGUGAAGGAAGAAGGUUUUCGGAUCGUAAACUUCUAUCAACAGGGACGAAGAAAGUGACGGUACCUGAAUAAGAAGCCCCGGCUAACUACGUGCCAGCAGCCGC